rnacentral:rRNA from 1 species
AGAGUUUGAUCCUGGCUCAGAUUGAACGCUGGCGGCAUGCCUUACACAUGCAAGUCGAACGGCAGCACGGGUGCUUGCACCUGGUGGCGAGUGGCGAACGGGUGAGUAAUACAUCGGAACGUACCUUAUCGUGGGGGAUAACGCAGCGAAAGUUGCGCUAAUACCGCAUACGCCCUGAGGGGGAAAGCGGGGGACCGUAAGGCCUCGCGCGAUUAGAGCAGCCGAUGUCUGAUUAGCUUGUUGGUGAGGUAAAAGCUCACCAAGGCGAUGAUCAGUAGCUGGUCUGAGAGGACGAUCAGCCACACUGGGACUGAGACACGGCCCAGACUCCUACGGGAGGCAGCAGUGGGGAAUUUUGGACAAUGGGGGCAACCCUGAUCCGGCAAUGCCGCGUGAGUGAAGAAGGCCUUCGGGUUGUAAAGCUCUUUUGUCAGGGAAGAAACAGCAGCUCUAACACAGUCUGCGAAUGACGGUACCUGAAGAAUAAGCACCGGCUAACUACGUGCCAGCAGCCGCGGUAAUACGUAGGGUGCGAGCGUUAAUCGGAAUUACUGGGCGUAAAGCGUGCGCAGGCGGUUAUACAAGACAGGCGUGAAAUCCCCGGGCUUAACCUGGGAAUGGCGUCUGUGACUGUAUAGCUAGAGUGUGUCAGAGGGGGGUGGAAUUCCACGUGUAGCAGUGAAAUGCGUAGAUAUGUGGAGGAACACCAAUGGCGAAGGCGACUUCCUGGUCCAAUCUUGACGCUGAGGCGCGAAAGCUAGGGGAGCAAACAGGAUUAGAUAUCCUGGUAGUCCUAGCUGUAAACGAUGGAUACUAGGUGUUGGAGGUUUUAACCCCUUCGGCGCCGCAGCUAACGCAUUAAGUAUCCCGCCUGGGGAGUACGGCCGCAAGGCUAAAACUCAAAGGAAUUGACGG